CUGUUCCCCCUUGUCCCGUCAUUACACACUCUUGCAAAUAGUCCAUCUCCACCUUCCCUGGAAGUUCUCUUCAGGAGAGAUACUCCAUCACUCUGAUCAACUUGGUGGCCUCCUCUGGACUUGCUGGAACGGGUCAAUGCCCCUCCUGUGUUGGGGAGGGGAUUGCACCCAGAGCUGGAUGCAGGCAGUACACGAGGGUGGUGUGCCGAGCCGCUGUUGCUAAUAAAGGUGUUUUUCAGUCUAGCUGUGGUAAUCUGUAAA